rnacentral:rRNA from 1 species
GUGUCGUGAGAUGUUGGGUUAAGUCCCGCAACGAGCGCAACCCUUGUCUUUAAUUGCCAUCAUUUAGUUGGGCACUUUAAAGAGACUGCCGGUGUUAAGCCGGAGGAAGGUGGGGAUGACGUCAAAUCAUCAUGCCCCUUAUGACCUGGGCUACACACGUGCUACAAUGGUUGGUACAACGAGUUGCGAGUCGGUGACGGCGAGCUAAUCUCUUAAAGCCAAUCUCAGUUCGGAUUGUAGGCUGCAACUCGCCUACAUGAAGUCGGAAUCGCUAGUAAUCGCGGAUCAGCACGCCGCGGUGAAUACGUUCCCGGGCCUU